UUGAAAGGGAAACGAUUGAAGUCAGUCAUGCUAGUGAAAAAUCAGUUUGACGGGUUUUGAGUUCUUGAGUAGAGGCAGGGUCAAACCGUUUCUCUUUUGGACUUGGGAUUUGUUAGAUGUACUUUUUCUUUGGCAGGUCAACGUCGGUUUCGGGGGUUGUAAAAUACUUGGGGGAAAGUAGCUCUGCUUCGGGAGAGUGUUAUAGACCCUGGGAGAUGCAGCCUGUGGGAUCGAGGAUUGCAGCAAAUGCCUUUUGGCUUGUCGCCUGUUCCUGGGUGUUACCUAUCUUGUGACAACAUUCUUGCCACCGGGGAGUACUAAUGCCUACUGUUUAGAGCGAUCGAAAAUUACGUUAAGGAUGUUGACGUA
rnacentral:rRNA from 1 species